UUGAAGUCCGUUACAACGCCAUCAGAGGUAGGACGAAUGGUUGAGAAAAGUGACGCGUCGAUUCCACUGAGUCGACUCGGGGCGAGUGCAGAUCUGAGUUGUGAUUCAAUUCCGUAAUAAACAGCUUCAUCGAUAAGCUCUUGAUUAGAGAAACGUUUUGCUGUUGAAGGGAGACGAUUAGACCGGAGAAGAGCUAAAAGAGCCGAGAAGAUUUCUGGGUCCCGGUCGAUGAAAACAGGCUCGUCGGAAUUCCGAUUCGUUAAGACGGAUAAAAGAGAAUCUGGUCCACCAGAACGAAGUGUUGAUACUGUGGUUUCAAAGAGCUUACCGCCGACGUUGAGCUUUACUCGAUCACCACCUUGCCCUAGAAUGGUACGUCGUCCACCGUCGUCUUCCAUUGAUCGGAGAAUUGAAAAAUAGUGAUGCCGGCGAAAGGUUGAACUGAGCAAAAAGAUUGAGUUGACCAAGUUACCGGAGCGUGCUGUUUUAUUUUUGGUGGAAAAUAGUAAAUAAAUCUGAAUAUGAUUUAAUUUUUUUUAAUUAGGCAGAA
rnacentral:misc_RNA from 1 species